AAUGAACGCUGGCGGCAGGCCUAACACAUGCAAGUCGAACGAGGCAGCAAUGCCUAGUGGCGGACGGGUGAGUAACGCGUGGGAACGUGCCCCUUGGUACGGAAUAGCCCUGGGAAACUGGGAGUAAUACCGUAUGUGGUCGAGAGACGAAAGAUUUAUCGCCAAGGGAUCGGCCCGCGUUGGAUUAGGUAGUUGGUGGGGUAAUGGCCUACCAAGCCGACGAUCCAUAGCUGGUUUGAGAGGAUGAUCAGCCACACUGGGACUGAGACACGGCCCAGACUCCUACGGGAGGCAGCAGUGGGGAAUCUUAGACAAUGGGGGAAACCCUGAUCCAACCAUGCCGCGUGAUCGAUGAAGGCCUUAGGGUUGUAAAGAUCUUUCAGUGGGGAAGAUAAUGACGGUACCCACAGAAGAAGCCCCGGCUAACUCCGUGCCAGCCGCCGCAGUAA
rnacentral:rRNA from 1 species